rnacentral:tRNA from 18 species
GCGCAAGUGGCGGAACUGGCAGACGCGCCAGGUUUAGGUCCUGGUGCCUUCGGGUGUGCGGGUUCGAGUCCCGCCUUGCGCACGA